rnacentral:rRNA from 1 species
GGCUCCUUGUAAAACUGUAAAUAGGGAGUCGGACCUGCCCAGUGAAUUAUUUCAACGGCCGCGGUACUCUGACCGUGCAAAGGUAGCAUAAUCAUUUGCCUUAUAAUUGAAGGCUUGUAUGAAUGGUUUGACAAGAAUAUAACUGUCUCUUUAUAAUUAAACAAAAUUUUAUUUACAGGUGAAGAAGCCUGUAUUUUAUUGAAAGACAAGAAGACCCUAUCGAGCUUUAAAAAAGUUAAUAAAUUAAAAUAUUUAUACUAUGUAGAAAAUUAGUUAUUAAAAAUUUUGGUUGGGGCGACUGAGGAACAAACAAAGCUUCCUUUAUUUUUUAAAACAAUCAAGUAAAGACCCAAAAACUUUGAUUAGAGAAUAUAGUUACCGUAGGGAUAACAGCAUUAUCUUUUUUAAGAGCUCUAAUCGAAAAAAAGGUUUGUGACCUCGAUGUUGGACCAGAAUAUCCUGAAGAUGCAGCCGUCUUCAAAGGUUGGUCUGUUCGACCAUUAAAAUUCU